UGUUGAUCAGGCUGGUCUUGAACUCCUGACCUCAGGUGAAUCCCUUUCUGGGUCUCCCUGGGCUCCAGUUUCUCCAGGGAUAGUCAUUCCUUGCAGAGCUGCCUAUGGAGAGGAGCUGGAUGAGUGACACAGGCAAGUGAGAGCAUCACCUGCACUCCAAGUGCAGGUUGUCAUUAGGCUCACUUAAAAGUGAUCCCUUAAAGAAGGGAUCAUUAGUAUAAUGACUGAGUUAAUGGGGAGGCAGGGAACCCUUAGCCCCUCUGAUGAAGGGGAGUGUCCGCAGCUGUCUUCUUCUCCCUGCACUCUACCCCCUUAGCUGGAAAGACAUGAUUCUUUUGGGGUCCCUCCAUGUUGCCUCCCUCCACCUGCCCCCGCUUCAACCUGGCCUCCUUGCCCUUUAGGUAACAGCCACCCAGAAAAAGUGUGUGGGGUGAUAAGAUGGAGAAUUGGGGGCUCUGGCCCUCUGGGGAAAAUUAAUGUAAAUUGUAAUUAAA